AUCUAUAAGAAGGUCCCGCCUGCCCAGUUGGACCACAUGUGUCUUAACGGCCGCGGUACUUUGAGCGUGCGAGGGUAGCGCAAUCACUUGUCUUUUAAAUGAAGACCUGUAUGAGUGGCACGACGAGGGCUUAAGUGUCUCCUUUUUCCAGUCAGUGAAAUUGAUCUUCCCGUGCAGAAGCGGGAAUAAUACCAUAAGACGAGAAGACCCUGUGGAGCUUCACACACUAAAUCAUCCCUUGUCCAAAAUCCCAAUUAAAGGACUGAACACUAGAGUGAGACCUGAUAUAAUGUCUUCGGUUGGGGCGACCUCGGGGAAAGAAAAAACCCCCACGCGGAGCAGAAGUACCAUACUUCCAAAACUAAGAUCUACCGCUCAAAGUAUCAGAAUUUUUGACCAACUAUGUGAUCCGGCUUAACGCCGAUCAACGGACCGAGUUACCCCAGGGAUAACACCGCAAUCCUCUUUUAGAGCCCAUAUCGACUACAGGGUUUACGACCUCGAUGUUGGAUCAGGACAUCCUAAUGGUGCAGCCGCUAUUAAGGGUUCGUUUGUUCAACGAUUAAAGUCCUACGUGAUCUGAUUUCAGAACCGGAUUUCAAACCGGA
rnacentral:rRNA from 1 species